rnacentral:lncRNA from 1 species
CCUAGUAGGUGGUCCUACUGCCCAUACUGACCCCAAUAGGAGGUCCUACUGCCCCCAAUAGGUUGUUCAACUGCCCCAAUAGAGGGUCAUACUGCUCCCAGUAGGAGGUCUUACUAUCCCCAAUAGGUGGGCAUAUUACUCCCAAUAGGGACCUAUUAUAAGUGACUAAAGCACAACUGCCUCCGGAGUCCCGUCAACGGUACCCGGAGCCCGGUCAAAAGUUGCCGGAGUCCAGUCAACGUCAUUGGUCGUGGGAAUCCGAUCAUAACAACUUUAUUUUAUAAUAAACUCUUGUAAUGGUCUAUUGUAGUUUAUUUAAUUCAUUAAUGAUAUAAUUGUCUUUCUACUCUUAUAAUGGUCUAUUGUAGUUUAUUUAAUUCAUUAAGGGUAUAUUUGUCUUUCUGUUGUUUAAGUUGGCUCAUGAGAAUUUUAAAAUCUGAUUUUGUUAGUGGGAAUAAAAUUCUUAAAAUUAGGGCUCUCGGGCAUUGUCCAUAAAUUUUAAUGUUGUACGUAUUUGGAAAGGGUGCCGCUAUUGCCACCCCACCAAAUGUUUUUUUCACCCCGUAUUUCAAUUUUAAACUAAAUAUUCUAAUACUAACCCCACAAUCAAGAAUUUUUGUGAAAAUAUAAUAUUAAACUAAAAUCCAAACAACACCAAUUCUCUAUAUCUUUACAUUGGAAAAAAAAUAUAUAUAUAUCUCUACAUUUUUCAAAUCAUAUUUGAGAAUCACUUCAAUCUUCAACAUGGUGGUUAUACAGUGUGAUAUAUGAGAUUGUUCAUUCUUAUUUUUAUUUUAUUUAUGGCUUCAAACAUAGUAUUUCAUAUAUAUAUAAUAUUCAUAAUCGUAAAGAAAGAACUCAAGAAAGAGAUUGAGGAGAACAUAGGAUGUGGUUUGAG